UUGAGCAGUAAGCGUGAUUCGAUCUAACUAUGGAAUUUCUUUGCUCAGAUAAGUAAUUGUUUCAUUUAAAAAAUCUUUUUAAUAAAGUUGAUCAUGAAGAUAUAAUAGUUUUUAAAAAUUUUUACUAUUUGUAUUUCUUGAGUAUGCAUGUCAAGUAAUUUGUCAAUAACUCGAAUAAAACGGGUUGUUCAAUUGCAUCAACAACAUAACUGCUAAGAGUUAUUUUUUCUUGAAAGUUUGUUUGCAAAUUUCAAAUCUUCAAACUCUUGUAAUUCAAACAAAGCUUUAAUGUAACUCCGUUACAUUUAAUGUAACUAAGCAUAUGACAUGGAUCAAGGAAAAUGUGUAUCAGUUGGUUGUUAUAUGAAAAAGUACCGACUAUACUGUUAAUGUCUUUGCCAAACUGGCAUUCAAAGUGGAUUACAGAAUUUAAAUUGGUACUUGUUCCAUCAAAUUUAACCCUGACGAAUAUAAAGCUAUGGAGAUUAGAUGUCAUAUAUUCGUUAUGAACAAAUCACUUGAUCAUCGACUUACAGAAGGUUCUAUAGAAUUAUGGAAGAAAAAUAUUAAGUUUGUGUCAGCUGUUAUGUAUUUAAUGGCUGUUAGUAAUAUGUCUACGCGUAUCGAAGAGUUUUUUAAUCAUGGUGUUUGUGAAUCUGCGCUUAAAAAGACAUUCAGUUCGCUUCAAUUUGAAGGAUUGGAUAUUGACAUUUUUAAUAGAAAAAAAUAAUUGUAAAACUUUAUUAUAAUUAUAAAUAACAUAUUUCUUUUA